UGAUCAUGGCUCAAAGUGAACGCGGGCGGUAGGCCUAACACAUGCAAGUCGAACGGCAGCACAGGAGAGCUUGUUCUCUGGGUGGCGAGUGGCGGACGGGUGAGGAAUACAUCGGAAUCUACUCUGUCGUGGGGGAUAACGUAGGGAAACUUACGCUAAUACCGCAUACGACCUACGGGUGAAAGCAGGGGAUCUUCGGACCUUGCGCGAUUGAAUGAGCCGAUGUCGGAUUAGCUAGUUGGCGGGGUAAAGGCCCACCAAGGCGACGAUCCGUAGCUGGUCUGAGAGGAUGAUCAGCCACACUGGAACUGAGACACGGUCCAGACUCCUACGGGAGGCAGCAGUGGGGAAUAUUGGACAAUGGGCGCAAGCCUGAUCCAGCCAUACCGCGUGGGUGAAGAAGGCCUUCGGGUUGUAAAGCCCUUUUGUUGGGAAAGAAAUCCAGCUGGCUAUACCCGGUGGGAUGACGU
rnacentral:rRNA from 1 species